UACGUAGGGGGCAAGCGUUGUCCGGAUUUACUGGGCGUAAAGAGCGCGUAGGCGGAAGCUUAAGUGUGGCCUGAAAGCCCCCGGCUCAACCGGGGAAGGUGGCUGCAAACUGGGCUUCUUGAGGGGGAUAGGGGAAAGUGGAAUUCCGGGUGUAGCGGUGAAAUGCGUAGAGAUCCGGAGGAACACCAGUGGCGAAGGCGGCUUUCUGGGUCCGCCCUGACGCUGAGGCGCGAAAGCCAGGGGAGCAAACGGG
rnacentral:rRNA from 1 species